rnacentral:rRNA from 1 species
UACGAAGGGGGCUAGCGUUGUUCGGAAUUACUGGGCGUAAAGCGCACGUAGGCGGCUUUGUAAGUUAGAGAUGAAAGCCCAGGGCUCAACCCUGGAAUUGCCUUUAAGACUGCAUCGCUAGAAUUGUGGAGAGGUAAGUGGAAUUCCGAGUGUAGAGGUGAAAUUCGUAGAUAUUCGGAAGAACACCAGUGGCGAAGGCGGCUCACUGGACUGGUAUUGACGCUGAGGUGCGAAAGCGUGGGGAGCAAACAGG